rnacentral:rRNA from 1 species
GGAGGACGAGCAACAGGGAUUGCCCUAGUAACGGCGAGUGAAGCGGCAACAGCUCAAAUUUGAAAUCUGGCGUCUUUGGCGUCCGAGUUGUAAUUUGCAGAGGGCGCUUUGGCAUUGGCAGCGGUCCAAGUUCCUUGGAACAGGACGUCACAGAGGGUGAGAAUCCCGUACGUGGUCGCUAGCCUUUACCGUGUAAAGCCCCUUCGACGAGUCGAGUUGUUUGGGAAUGCAGCUCUAAAUGGGAGGUAAAUUUCUUCUAAAGCUAAAUACUGGCCAGAGACCGAUAGCGCACAAGUAGAGUGAUCGAAAGAUGAAAAGCACUUUGGAAAGAGAGUUAAAAAGCACGUGAAAUUGUUGAAAGGGAAGCGCUUGCAGCCAGACUUGCCUGUAGUUGCUCAUCCGGGUUUUUACCCGGUGCACUCUUCUACGGGCAGGCCAGCAUCAGUUUGGGCGGUUGGAUAAAGGUCUCUGUCAUGUACCUCCUCUCGGGGAGAACUUAUAGGGGAGACGACAUGCAACCAGCCCGGACUGAGGUCCGCGCAUCUGCUAGGAUGCUGGCGUAAUGGCUGUAAGCGGCCCGUCUUGAAACACGGACCAAGGAGUCUAACAUCUAUGCGAGUGUUUGGGUGUCAAGCCCGAGCGCGUAAUGAAAGUGAACGGAGGUGGGAACCUUUCGGGGUGCACCAUCGACCGAUCCUGAUGUCUUCGGAUGGAUUUGAGUAAGAGCAUAGCUGUUGGGACCCGAAAGAUGGUGAACUAUGCUUGGAAUAGGGUGGAAGCCAGAGGAAACUCUGGUGGAGGCUCGCAGCGGUUCUGACGUGCAAAUCGAUCGUCAAAUUUGGGCAUAGGGGCGAAAGACUAAUCGAACUAUCUAUACUGGUCUCAGAAAUUUUCCCCC